UACGUAGGUGGCAAGCGUUGUCCGGAUUUACUGGGCGUAAAGAGCGCGCAGGCGGUCGUUCAAGUCGAGUGUGAAAGCCCCCGGCUCAACUGGGGAGGGUCACUCGAUACUGAUCGACUCGAAGGCAGAAGAGGGAAGCGGAAUUCCCGGUGUAGUGGUGAAAUGCGUAGAUAUCUGGAGGAACACCGGUGGCGAAGGCGGCAUCCUGGACCGGUAUUGACGCUGAGGCGCGAAAGCGUGGGGAGCAAACAGG
rnacentral:rRNA from 1 species